rnacentral:lncRNA from 1 species
CUCCUGGCUCAUAACUGUCCUAUUUGCAGGAAGAACAGUGAUAUCAGGUAUGUGGGGUCCGGCCGAGGGUUUUGCAUGCUUCUACAUUGUGUUUGUGUUUAUAUAUUACCACAGGAAUGCUGUUUCUACAGGUUUCAAACCAGCAAAAUGAAGUUUCUCCUCCUUACAACAUUCGCAGCCAUGUUCUGCUGUGUCAGCGCUGGCAAGGUAAAACACUCAAAGUACGUAUUAUUACUGCCAUGAAGCUUACUGGACUCCAACAACAAGCUCUCUCUCUCUCUCUCUCUCUCUCUCUCUCUCUCUCUCUCCAUGCAGACACAGAGGUUGCUGGCAGCCUUGAUGGCUAAUGGUGCAUUGGGGAACGGCGUCAACCCCGCGCUGGUGGCUGCAGGCCUGACCCCGCCCCUCGUGGUCGGUGGCGGGGCAGGUGUGGCUGGGCAGCCUCAGAUGGCGCAGUUUGCUCCUGGAGCUUUUGCUGUACCCAACAUGUACCCCAUGCCUGCGUAUCAGUAUCCAAUGAUGGGAGUCCCUCAGAUGGCACCAAUGGCCCCUAUGGCACCAAUGGCCCCUAUGGCACCAAUGGCACCAAUGGCACCAAUGGCACCAAUGAAUGUUGCUCAGCAGCCAGCAGGGGGAGCAGCAGGGGGGGCCAUGCCACAGCAGCUUGCUCCUCAGCCCGGGCCUCUCACCAGGUUCAGGCGCCAGCUCAUGACACAACAGAAUGCCCUCAAGUCAACCGUGGACACUCAGGCCCCAGUUCCUACUGACGCAACAGCGACAACUGGGUGUGAAGAACAAGGUCGUCAUCAAGGCAAUUAAGAUGAAACAAGAGUGAAUGAUGACGGCAGCCAUGUGCAGCAGAUAAACAUAGAUGUUGACUGUACUUGCAUACUUUAAUAAAUUAGACUUG